CCUANGGGAGGCUGCAGUGGGGAAUAUUGGACAAUGGGCGAAAGCCUGAUCCAGCAAUACCGCGUGUGUGAUGAAGGCCUGCGGGUUGUAAAGCACUUUCAGUGGGGAAGAAAUGCUCAAAGCUAAUACCUUUGAGAGUUGACGUUACCCAAAGAAGAAGCACCGGCUAACUCUGUGCCAGCAGCCGCGGUAAUACAGAGGGUGCAAGCGUUAAUCGGAGUUACUGGGCGUAAAGGGCGCGUAGGCGGAAAUUUAAGUCGGGUGUGAAAUCCCUGGGCUCAACCUAGGAAUUGCAUUCGAUACUGGAUUUCUCGAGUAUGGUAGAGGGAAGUGGAAUUCUCGGUGUAGUGGUAAAAUACGUAGAUAUCGAGAAGAACACCGGUGGCGAAGGCGGCUUCCUGGACCAAUACUGACGCUGAGGCGCGAAAGCGUGGGGAGCAAACAGGAUUAGAUACCCGUNUANUC
rnacentral:rRNA from 1 species